UUAAAAGCUCGUAGUUGAACCUUGGGCCUGGCUGGCCGGUCCGCCUCACCGCGUGCACUGGUUCGGCCGGGCCUUUCCCUCUGGGGAACCUCAUGCCCUUCACUGGGUGUGAUGGGGAACCAGGACUUUUACUGUGAAAAAAUUAGAGUGUUCAAAGCAGGCCUAUGCUCGAAUACAUUGGCAUGGAAUAAUAGAAUAGGACGUGUGGUUCUAUUUUGUUGGUUUCUAGGACCGCCGUAAUGAUUAAUAGGGACAGUCGGGGG
rnacentral:rRNA from 1 species